rnacentral:tRNA from 1 species
UCCCUGGUGGUCCAGUGGUUAGGACUCCACGAUUUCCACUGCUGAGGCCCUGGGUUCGAUUCCUGAUCAGGGAA